AACGAACGCUGGCGGCAUGCCUAACACAUGCAAGUCGAACGAGACCUUCGGGUCUAUUUGCGCACUGGUUCGUCACGCGACGGAACCUUCCCGCAUGUUCGGAAUAACUCCCCGCAAGGGGUGCUAAUACCGGAUAAAUUCUUCUACCCAAAGAUUUAUUGCCUCGGGAUGGGGCCGCGUUGGAUUAGCUAUUUGGUAGGGUAAAAGCCUACCAAGGCUACGAUGCAUAGCUGGUCUGAGAGGAUGAUCAGCCACACUGGGGGUGAGACACGGCCCGGACUCCUACGGAAGGCAGCAGUGGGGAAUAUUGAACGAUGGGCGAAAGCCUGAUCCAGCAAGGUCGCGAGAGUGAGGAAGGCCUUAAGGUUGUAAAGCACUUUUAACCGGGAAGAUAAUGACGGUACCGAGAGAAUAAGCUCCGGCUAACUACGUG
rnacentral:rRNA from 1 species